rnacentral:rRNA from 1 species
AGUGAACGCUGGCGGUAGGCCUAACACAUGCAAGUCGAACGGCAGCACAGUAAGAUCUUGCUCUUACGGGUGGCGAGUGGCGGACGGGUGAGGAAUACAUCGGAAUCUACUUUUUCGUAGGGGAUAACGUAGGGAAACUUACGCUAAUACCGCAUACGACCUACGGGUGAAAGCAGGGGAUCUUCGGACCUUGCGCGAUUGAAUGAGCCGAUGUCGGAUUAGCUAGUUGGCGGGGUAAAGGCCCACCAAGGCGAGGAUCCGUAGCUGGUCUGAGAGGAUGAUCGGCCACACUGGAACUGAGACACGGUCCAGACGCCUACGGGAGGCAGCAGUGGGGAAUAUUGGACAAUGGGCGCAAGCCUGAUCCAGCCAUACCGCGUGGGUGAAGAAGGCCUUCGGGUUGUAAAGCCCUUUUGUUGGGAAAGAAAAGCAGCAGGUUAAUACCCCGCUGUUCUGACGGUACCCAAAGAAUAAGCACCGGCUAACUUCGUG